rnacentral:rRNA from 1 species
GACGAACGCUGGCGGCGUGCUUAACACAUGCAAGUCGAACGAUGAACCCGGAGCUUGCUCCGGUGGAUUAGUGGCGAACGGGUGAGUAACACGUGAGUAACCUGCCCUUGACUCUGGGAUAGCUGCGGGAAACUGUAGCUAAUACCGGAUACGACCCUCGGCGGCAUCGCCAGGGGGUGGAAAGAAUUUCGGUCAAGGAUGGACUCGCGGCCUAUCAGCUAGUUGGGGAGGUAACGGCUCACCAAGGCGACGACGGGUAGCCGGCCUGAGAGGGUGACCGGCCACGCUGGGACUGAGAAACGGCCGAGAGUCCUGAGGGAGGCCGGAGUGGAGAAUAUUGGACAAUAGGCGCAACCCUGAUGCACAGACGCCGCGGGCAGGGUAACGGCCUUCGGGUUGGAAACCUCUUUUAGGAGAGAAGAAGCGAAAGUGACGGUACCUGCAGAAAAAGCACCGAAUAACUACGUGCCAGCCGCCGCAGUAA